rnacentral:rRNA from 1 species
GCCAUGCCGCGUGUGUGAAGAAGGUCUUCGGAUUGUAAAGCACUUUAAGUUGGGAGGAAGGGCAGUAAGCUAAUACCUUGCUGUUUUGACGUUACCGACAGAAUAAGCACCGGCUAACUCUGUGCCAGCAGCCGCGGUAAUACAGAGGGUGCAAGCGUUAAUCGGAAUUACUGGGCGUAAAGCGCGCGUAGGUGGUUUGUUAAGUUGGAUGUGAAAGCCCCGGGCUCAACCUGGGAACUGCAUCCAAAACUGGCAAGCUAGAGUACGGUAGAGGGUGGUGGAAUUUCCUGUGUAGCGGUGAAAUGCGUAGAUAUAGGAAGGAACACCAGUGGCGAAGGCGACCACCUGGACUGAUACUGACACUGAGGUGCGAAAGCGUGGGGAGCAAACAGGAUUAGAAACCCUGGUAGUCCAGACCAAGUCUCUGCUACCGNAC